UGGCGACCGGCGUACGGGUGAGUAACGCGUAUACCAACCUCGCCCUUUACUAUGGGACAGCCCGUCGAAAGGCGGAUUAAUACCGUAUGUUGUCAUGUUGAUGCAUAUUUUCAUGACCAAAGGCUUCGGCCGGUAAAGGAUGGGGAUGCGUCUGAUUAGCUUGCCGGCGGGGUAACGGCCCACCGGGGCGACGAUCAGUAGGGGUUCUGAGAGGAAGGUCCCCCACAUUGGAACUGAGACACGGUCCAAACUCCUACGGAAGGCAGCAG
rnacentral:rRNA from 1 species